UACGAAGGGUGCAAACGUUGCUCGGAAUUAUUGGGCGUAAAGGGCGCGUAGGCGGCCUUCUAAGUCGAACGUGAAAUCCCCGGGCUCAACCCGGGAACUGCGUCCGAUACUGGAAGGCUUGAAUCCGGGAGAGGGAUGUGGAAUUCCAGGUGUAGCGGUGAAAUGCGUAGAUAUCUGGAGGAACACCGGUGGCGAAGGCGGCAUCCUGGACCGACACUGACGCUGAGGAGCGAAAGCCAGGGGAGCAAACGGG
rnacentral:rRNA from 1 species